AACGCAAGUUGCGCCCGAAGCCUUGGCUGAGGGCACGCCUGCCUGGGUGUCACACGUCGCUCUGCCUCCAAAACCUUCCCCCCGCCAACACCGUGGCGAUGGUUCGGAUGCGGAAGAUGGCCUCCCGUGACCACGAGCCACGGAUGGCCCAAGUUCUUGCUGGGGAAGCGAAGCGCCACGGCUUUCGGUGGUCGGUUUAGCCCCCCGGGGCGAUGAAGCCCGUGGUAGCCGCGACGGUCCUCGGCGUACGACCCUGAUCACUAACCAAUGCGACCUCAGGUCAGGCGGGGCUACCCGCUGAGUUUAA
rnacentral:misc_RNA from 1 species